rnacentral:rRNA from 1 species
CCUACGGGUGGCAGCAGUGGGGAAUAUUGCACAAUGGGGGAAACCCUGAUGCAGCGACGCCGCGUGAGUGAAGAAGUAUUUCGGUAUGUAAAGCUCUGUCAGCAGGGAAGAAAAUGACGGUACCUGACCAAGAAGCCCCGGCUAACUACGUGCCAGCAGCCGCGGUAAUACGUAGGGGGCAAGCGUUGUCCGGAUUUACUGGGUGUAACGGGCGUGUAGCCGGGCUGACAAGUCAGAUGUGAAAUUCCCGGGCUCAACCCCGGACCUGCAUGUGAUACUGGUGGGCUUGAGUAUCGGAGAGGCAGGCAGAAUUCCAAGUGUAGCGGUGAAAUGCGUAGAUAUUAGGAGGAACACCAGUGGCGAAGGCGGCCUGCUGGACGACAACUGACGGUGAGGCGCGAAAGCGUGGGGAGCAAACAGGAUUAGAUACCCCUGUAGUC